rnacentral:rRNA from 1 species
GAUGAACGCUGACAGAAUGCUUAACACAUGCAAGUCAACUUGAACUUCGGUUUGGGUGGCGGACGGGUGAGUAACGCGUAAAGAACUUGCCUCACAGAUAGGGACAACAUUUGGAAACGAAUGCUAAUACCUGAUAUUAUGAUUAUAUGGCAUCGUAUAAUUAUGAAAGCUAUAUGCGCUGUGAGAGAGCUUUGCGUCCCAUUAGCUAGUUGGAGGGGUAACGGCUCACCAAGGCGAUGAUGGGUAGCCGGCCUGAGAGGGUGAUCGGCCACAAGGGGACUGAGACACGGCCCUUACUCCGACGGGAGGCAGCAGUGGGGAAUAUUGGACAAUGGACCAAGAGUCUGAUCCAGCAAUUCUGUGUGCACGAUGAAGUUUUUCGGAAUGUAAAGUGCUUUCAGUUGGGAAGAAAAAAAUGACGGUACCAACAGAAGAAGUGACGGCUAAAUACGUG